UCCAGACUCCUACGGGAGGCAGCAGUGGGGAAUAUUGGGCAAUGGGCGCAAGCCUGACCCAGCAACGCCGCGUGAAGGAAGUGGGCUUUCGGGUUGUAAACUUCUUUUCUCAGGGACGAAGAAAGUGACGGUACCUGAGGAAUAAGCCACGGCUAACUACGUGCCAGCAGCCGCGGUAAUACGUAGGUGGCAAGCGUUAUCCGGAUUUACUGGGUGUAAAGGGCGUGUAGGCGGGAAAGCAAGUCAGAUGUGAAAACCACGGGCUCAACCUGUGGCCUGCAUUUGAAACUGUUUUUCUUGAGUACUGGAGAGGCAGACGGAAUUCCUAGUGUAGCGGUGAAAUGCGUAGAUAUUAGGAGGAACACCAGUGGCGAAGGCGGCCUGCUGGACUGCAACUGACGUUGAGGCUCGAAGGCGUGGGGAGCAAACAGGAUUAGAUACCCUCGUA
rnacentral:rRNA from 1 species